GGAAGUGACUUCUGGAAGUGACCCAGGAAGUGACAGUGAGCUGCCUCUCUGCGAUUGGUUUUGCCCGAGUUUUAUUUUUGUCUGUCUCAGCUAGAAAGUGGGAGACUUUCAUUUAAAAUGGAAAUUGGGGCGAGGGGUUGGCGGCUGGGCGAAGGGAGCAUUCAAAAGCGGAGAAUGUCACUUUACCCGAGAAAUUCACUACGAUGGGCCAUUGGUUUCUGCUCGGCUCGCAGGCGCACUGCACGAGUGGAGGUGUGGCUAGUGGCUGUGAUGAGAUAAAUCCAUGCAUAGCCUUUUCAUUGCGAGCUUGAAAGUUCUUUUCUAUUACAGUUUUAGCUUUAGGUUUAAUUGGUUCGACUGCCUUCUCCACAAUUUGGGCGAGAAUUUCCUUUGCCUUCUCAGCAAAAGUUGUUCUGCGGACCCGUCUGGGUCAACUUUCAUGAGGGACAUUGAGACAAACAAAUGAAAUAUGGGUUAAAGUACUCUGAGCAGCUACAAAAAGAAGACCAGUCUAUCCUGCUGGAGACAGUGGCCACGUGAAGAAAGAGCUCUUGCAGUAUGAAAGACCACAUGGAAAGAGAGGCCACAUGGAACCAACAGUCAGCAUCUUGGUUUCGGACACGUGAAGAAAUUCAUCUCAGACUGUGUAUCCUAAAUCAGGCACUUGCUGAAUCUAACUACAUGAGUGAGACCAGUUGACAACACAUGGAGCAGACAUGAGCUGUUCUCAGUGAGUCCUACACAAAUUCCUGACUCACAACACUGUGAGCAAUAAAAUGGUUGUUAUUUUAAGCCACUGAAGUUUGCAGUGAUUUCUUACAUAGGAAUAGAUAAAUGAAACACAAACAUUGAUCAUUUGCAUCUUCUAUCUUUUUUAUGACUAGUCUUAUUGGAAAUUACCAGUUUAUUUCUGCCAUGGUUAGAAAACAAACUCUGAAAUUUUGAUACUUUAAAAUUUUUUUGAGACUUACUGUGCCCAGAAUAUAGUCUAUCUUGGUGAAUGUUCUGUGAGCACUAGACAAGAAUAUGUAUUCUGUAGUUAUUGAGCAUUGUGUCCAUCAAUGUCAACGUGAUUAAGGUGGUUAAUAGUUGUCUUCAGAUCUUCUAUAUUGUAUUGAUUGUUUUAUGUGUAGUGUUGCUAUUAAUUAUUGAUACAGGAGUGUAAAACUUAAACUAUGGCUGUGAAUUUGCCACUUACUUUAGUUUUGUCAGCUUUUCUUUUGCAUUUUUGAAGCUCUGUUAUUGGGCAUAUAAACAUUUAUGGUUCGUGUGUCUUCCUGAUGAAUUGACCAUUUUAUCAUUAUGAAAUGUCUUUAUUGCUGAUAAUACUCCUUAUCUUGAAGUCUAAUUCAUCCGAUAUUAGUAUAGCCACUGCAGCCUUCCUAGCUUACUGUUUACUGGUAUAUUUUUAUCCAUGUUUUUACUUUCAACCUGUGUUUUUUAAUUUAAUGUGCUUCUCUUAUAGACAACAGAUAGUUGAGUUUGUCUAUCAUUUUGCUAUUUGUUUUCGAUUUGUCCCAUUCAGUUUUGUGUUCCUUUGUUCUUUACUUCCUGCUUUCUUUUGGGUUAAUUAAUGUUUUUAUAUUUCAUCUUAAUUCCUCUGUUGGCUUUAACUGUAUCUUUUUGCAUUAUUGCUUUACAGUGUUUCUGAGAAUUAUGAUAUACAUUCUUAACUUAUCACAGCCUUAGAGUUAAAAUUAUGAUACUUCAUGUAAAAUAAAAGAGCCUUGCAAUAGUAAAGUUCUACUUACCACCUCCCCAAGUCCUUUGUGCUUUGUUGUCAUAUAUAUCAUAUCUAUGCACAUUGUUAUUUUUGCCUUAGUCAUAUGUAUCGCAAAGAAAUUAAGAGAAGAAAAGUAUAUAUUACCUUUUGUGUAUUUACCUACAUUUUGCUAUUUCCAGUUCUUUUCAUUCCUUCCUGUUUGUGGUGAAUUAUCUUUAAGAAUAGCUGUCAAAAAGUAUUCACAUUCUUGUAUGUGCAUGUUGCUUCUCCCUUUAAGAAAUAGAAUCAGCUGGGCAUGGUGGCUCACGUCUGUAAUCCCAGCAAUUUGGGAGGUCAAGGCAGGUGGAUCACAAGGUCAGGAGUUCAAGACCAACCUGAACAACAUGGUGAAACCCUGU
ensembl:lncRNA TAF1A-AS1 TAF1A antisense RNA 1